rnacentral:rRNA from 1 species
UACGUAGGGUCCGAGCGUUGUCCGGAUUUAUUGGGCGUAAAGGGCUCGUAGGCGGUUUGUCACGUCGGGAGUGAAAACUCAGGGCUCAACCCUGAGCGUGCUUCCGAUACGGGCAGACUAGAGGUAUGCAGGGGAGAACGGAAUUCCUGGUGUAGCGGUGGAAUGCGCAGAUAUCAGGAGGAACACCGGUGGCGAAGGCGGUUCUCUGGGCAUUACCUGACGCUGAGGAGCGAAAGCAUGGGGAGCGAACAGG